UGCCGCCCAUUUACGACAGUAGCCGAAUGUAAACCAGUUUGCAUGUGGCCAAUCAAGGGGGGAUUGGGCGGCCCUUGAAAAGGUAAAAUGGUGCAAACCGAAGAGAACAAGCGGAAAAGUGACGACAAUUUGGAAAAUUCCACGGCCAAGACCAAACGCAUGGAAACGAAGUUGCGUUGUACUGAUUUGAUUGUACUGGGCCUGCCCUGGAAGACCACCGAGUUGUACUUGCGCGAGUACUUUGAAACGUUCGGUGAAGUGCUGAUGGCGCAGGUGAAGAAGGACCCGAAAACCAGCCAGUCGAAGGGCUUCGGCUUCAUUCGGUUCGCCUCGUACGAGUCGCAGAUGCGCGUUUUGGCGCAACGGCACAUGAUUGACGGUCGAUGGUGCGACGUCAAAGUGCCCAAUUCGAAGGAGGGGCUCAUCCAGCAGGUGCCCUGCAAGGUUUUCAUUGGCCGAUGCACGGAAGAUCUCACCGCCGACGAUCUGCGCGAGUAUUUCGGCAAAUUCGGCGAGGUCACCGACGUCUUCAUCCCGAAGCCGUUCAGAGCCUUCAGUUUUGUGACGUUUCUCGAUCCGGAGGUGGCGCAGAGCCUCUGCGGCGAAGACCACAUUAUCAAAGGUGUGUCGGUCCAUGUGUCAAAUGCAGCGCCCAAGGCGGAGACCCGCUCCUCGAAGCACGGCUACGAUCAUAGAGGGGGCGACAUGCGCCUGCAUGGGACCAAUCGCGGCCCCCCGGGCGGACCUGAAGGGCCCGGCGGCAUGUAUCCGCAAAGAUACAACGGCCCGCCAGGGCCCAACCAGGGCAAUUGGGGCAACCAGGGCGGCCCCAGGGGCAACCUCGACAUGCCGAACUUGCAGGCUUUAGGCAUAACGGGGCAAGGGGGCCAGAACAACAACCAAGGGGGCUGCAACCCCUUGGGGCUGGGGCUGAACUUGGGGGCGUUGCCGAUGAAUCCGGCGCUGGUGGCCGCCGCCCUUAACCAGGCGAGUUGGGGGCUGAUCGGCAACCUGCAGAACCAGCCCGAGCCCAAUUUCAACCAGGGCUUCAACAACGGCCCCAACAAUAACAGCGGGAACAAUCAGGGCGGCAGCAACCAGGGCGGGGGCGGCGGGCCGGGGUUCCUGAACUGGAUGUCGCAGGGCGGCGGCGGAGGGGGCCCUGGCGGGGGACAGGAGGGCGGCCAGUGGCCUUCCAGGCCGCCCCCCGGCCAGAACCAGGACCCCAAGGGAUUCUUGAAAUACGAAUAGAGAGCUGAUGGGGUUCGCUCGUGCUACAAACUCCCCGGAGGGGGCGGCAGCCGACUGCGCCCAAACCAGCAGAUCCGGUUAAGAGGUGAAGACCUUUAGUGGUAGUAAUAGGUAACUCUCUAUUCCUGGGGGGCGCAGCCCCUCCUCUUUAUCUCAUGUGUAUCUAGUUCUAGAAUAAGGCGAAGAGUGUUAAAUGUUCAAUUAAGUUUUUUAAGUGCAAAAGACGUGUAUGGUAAAAUGGAAGAAAGCGUGUGGAGUUUAUUGUAUAUUAGAGUGGUUCCAUGUAAUGGGCGCAGUUUUAUUUCGCGACGAGCCCCGGUAUGUUUGGGUCUCUGUCUCUGUCUAACCACCGCUUUCAAUGUGUGCGAAAUGAGCAAGAGAGUGAGGGAGGGUUUGUGCAAUAUGGACAACUGGUUUAUUGGGAAGGUUGGCGGUUGUGGGGGCGGCUGCCGGCGCGAUGGUGAGGGGCGGCGCAUCGCAAAUGGCCACGGAAGCAGGUAAACGAUUAUUUGUUCUAGAUUGGAAUAUAUUGGUUCCUUUGGAGGAG